CAGUCGCCGCGGUAAUACGAAGGGGGCAAGCAUUGUUCGGAAUUACUGGGCGUAAAGGGCGCGUAGGCGGUGUACUAAGUUAGGCGUAAAAGCCCUGGGCUCAACCGGGGAGGGUCAUUGGAAACUGGGAAACUUGAGUGCAGAAGAGGAGAGUGGAAUUCCACGUGUAGCGGUGAAAUGCGUAGAGAUGUGGAGGAACACCAGUGGCGAAGGCGACUCUCUGGUCUGUAACUGACGCUGAGGAGCGAAAGCGUGGGGAGCGAACAGGAUUAGAUACCCCAGUAGUCCUGUCUCUUAUACA
rnacentral:rRNA from 1 species